UAGGGAAUCUUCGGCAAUGGACGAAAGUCUGACCGAGCAACGCCGCGUGAGUGAAGAAGGUUUUCGGAUCGUAAAACUCUGUUGUUAGAGAAGAACAAGGACGUUAGUAACUGAACGUCCCCUGACGGUAUCUAACCAGAAAGCCACGGCUAACUACGUGCCAGCAGCCGCGGUAAUACGUAGGUGGCAAGCGUUGUCCGGAUUUAUUGGGCGUAAAGCGAGCGCAGGCGGUUUCUUAAGUCUGAUGUGAAAGCCCCCGGCUCAACCGGGGAGGGUCAUUGAAAACUGGGAGACUUGAGUGCAGAAGAGGAGAGUGGAAUUCCAUGUGUAGCGGUGAAAUGCGUAGAUAUAUGGAGAAACACCAGUGGCGAAGGCGGCUCUCUGGUCUGUAACUGACGCUGAGGCUCGAAAGCGUGGGGAGCAAACAGG
rnacentral:rRNA from 1 species